rnacentral:lncRNA from 1 species
CAUUGCCCCAGUGACGUGGGCCCAGAGAAAGUUCUGGAACCACUCUUCAUAUUAGAUUCACCUGGCUGGUUGGCACUGUGAAGAGUUACUAGAUCUGGGCGAAGCCUCCUAAGGGCAGAAGAAGCAGCCAGGGCUAAGAAGUCCACUGAGUUCGACCCUGUUGGCAUCAAGUGCUAUUGGAGUGUGAGGCUGAGGAACUUCUACAUUGUGUCCUGGCCAGGAGCGCACGCACUCCAGUCUUCAUUCCUGGCAAAGGAAUGGACAACAGCCAGCUAGAAAAGGAAACUUCUGACCUCCUUGCCCAGCUCCUCCUUCUGCCCUAUGGCUACCCCACUGUGUUAGGCAUCGAUACCCAACCAACUGUGGAUCCCCCUCCCCACAAUAAAAGCCUGCACUGUCU